rnacentral:rRNA from 1 species
GAUGAACGCUGGCGACAUGGAUAAGGCAUGCAAGUCGAACGAGGCCUAGAGCCGAGUGGCAGACGAGGUAGGAACAUGUGGGAACUUGCCCUCAAGUCAGGAAUAAUCCGUCGAAAGACGGACUAAUACUUGAUAGUCCCUUCGGGGUAAAGCGUAUGCGCUUGAGGAGAGGCCUGCACGGUAUCAGGUAGUUGGUAGGGUAAUGGCCUACCAAGCCUAUGACGCCUAGGGGAGCUGAGAGGCUGACCCCCACCGAUGGUACUGAGACACGGACCAUACACCUACGGGUGGCCGCAGUCGAGAAUCUUCCGCAAUGGGCGCAAGCCUGACGGAGCGAUGUCGCGAGAUCGAUGAAGUGUUUCGGCAUGUAAAGAUCUUUUCUAGAGGAGGAAGUUUAUUGACGUUACUCUAGGAAUAAGGGGUUGCUAAACUCGUGCCAGCAGCAGCGGUAAUACGAGUGCCCCGAGCGUUAUCCGGAAUUAUUGGGCGUAAAGGGUCCGCAGGCGGAACUGUUAGUCUCAUGUGAAAUCUCCCGGCUUAACUGGGAACACGCAUGGGAAACGGCAGAUCUAGAGGACAUGAGAGGUGUGUGGAACUCAUAGUGUAGGGGUGAAAUCCGUUGAUAUUAUGGGGAACACCAAAUGCGAAGGCAACACACUGGCAUGCUCCUGACGCUCAGGGACGAAAGCACGGGUAGCGAAUGGGAUUAGAUACCCCAGUAGUCCGUGCCCUAAACGAUCUUGACUUGCUUUUUGGGGAAUCGACCCCUCAAGAGGCGGAGCUAACGCGUUAAGUCAAGCGCCUGGGUAGUACGACCGCAAGGUUAAAACUCAAAGGAAUAGACGGGGACUUGCACAAGCGGUGGAUCAUGUGGCUUAAUUCGUCGCUAAACGAAGAACCUUACCAAGGCUAGAAAUCUAUACGAAAGACUAUGGAAACAUAGUCCCUCUUCGGACGUAUAGACAGGUGAUGCAUGGCCGUCGUCAGUUCGUGGUUUGAAUUGUUCCCUUAAGUGGGGUAACGAACGCAACCCUCGUCGUGUGUUACAAGUGUCACACGAGACUGCCCCCGCCUUAGUUUUUAAACUUCUCUGCAUAAGAGAAAGGAUUUGAAACCUGAGGCGGGGGAGGAAGGCGAGGAUGACGCCAGGUCAGCAUGUCCCUUGAUGCCUUGGGCUGCACACGUGAUACAAUGCCAAUAACAACGAGACGCAAUACCGUAAGGUGGAGCAAAUCUUUAUAAAAAUUGGCCCAGUUCGGAUUGAGGUCUGCAACUCGACCUCAUGAAGUUGGAAUCGCUAGUAAUCGCAGGUCAGCUAUACUGCGGUGAAUACGUUCUCAAGUCCUGUACUCACCGCCCGUCAAGUCAAGGGAGCUGGGAGCACCCGAAGUC